rfam:Gossypium raimondii Chr04_contig_663, whole genome shotgun sequence.
AUUCCAUGAUGAAGGCACUUUCGUAAUAAUUCUUUGUACAUUUCCCAUGCCUCAUACAAGGACUCGACAUCCAUUUGUUGGAAAGUAGUGAUCUCAUUCCUUAACUU